UACGGAGGGGGCUAGCGUUGUUCGGAAUUACUGGGCGUAAAGCGCACGUAGGCGGCUUUGCAAGUCAGAGGUGAAAGCCCGGGGCUCAACCCCGGAAUUGCCUUUGAGACUGCAUCGCUAGAAUUGUGGAGAGGUAAGUGGAAUUCCGAGUGUAGAGGUGAAAUUCGUAGAUAUUCGGAAGAACACCAGUGGCGAAGGCGACUUACUGGACACAUAUUGACGCUGAGACGCGAAAGCGUGGGGAGCAAACAGG
rnacentral:rRNA from 1 species